ensembl:lincRNA
UCACGUGACUCCCGGCUGCGCUUGGAGCUGGGUCUCAGCGACUCCAAGGCUUGGGGUUCGAGUCUGUACCCACAAAUCCUUUGUGUGCUGCGGUUUAAAAAAACCACAGAUGAUGGUGCUGGAUCAUCGCUAGUUAAAGUGCUAGAUAUGCCCAAGGUCGCAUGGCCUAAGAAAAACUGCUCUCCCUUCCAAGGACCCAGCAGUCUUUAGACCAGCUCAAGCCUCCCAAUUCUCCCUGCUGGCUGAAAACCAAGUGCACUGGGAUUCUGAGAGGCAUGAACCCCCAUGCCUGAAACUUGCCUCAUCUCCCAACGAGAGCCUUGUCUGGAGUGUGCAUCAGCCAUGCCACAGGAGGCAGAGGCUGCAGUGGCUGCAGUGGAUACGGUGGCUGUGGUGGCUGUGGUUAGUUUUGCAGCAUGCGGGAUCCAGUGGAGGGAAAGACCACAGCAGCCUCUACAGCUCCUCCCAUCAUGAUGAGAAGCUAGCCAGUGGAUAGACAGUCUCCUAGUCUCCUAGUCAAGGCACGGUUAAUUUCUCUAUGUCCUGCAAACAAAGUAUGUGGAGUCUUCUCACCAAUAUGAUCUGACCAUCUAGUUCUGCUGGCUCACCCAGAACAAUGGCAAGCGCUCGUGUUAUUUUAGGGCUUCCUGAUUGCUACCUUAUUCAUACUUGGCACUGAGACUUUUAUUUAAUAACCUACGUCUGUUGGGAGCAGCUUCCUCCACUAAUGCAGAGCACCUCUGUUUAGACUGUUUCUUUGAAAAACAAAAACAAAAACAAGUUAAAUUAGCAUACGUACUUCUGGUUUUCCAUAAAUCGUUUUCAUAUGUCCUAAGUCUUGGUUAGCUCACAUCGUAUACCCACCCCCUCCUUCCCAUCCCCCUGCCUCCAUCUACACUUAACCCUUCAACCCCCAGUAUUCCCUCCCUGUUCUUUUGGGUCACAUGUGUUCUACUGUCCCCUCUAAUUAUAUUUUUUUUACUGGGACUUGAAGAUCAUAGGUUUCCAUGGACCUUUUCCAGACGCCCUUCAUUUCCGUUAACCCUUCCCUUGCUUACACUUCCCCAUGCUUAACCUUCGGUUGGUCUGGCCUCCCUCUCUGCUUAUAUCGUAACUAUAUUUUAUUGUCUUCCCUCCCUUAAUGCCCAGCCUCAGUGGCCCAUUUCUAGUUUUCUAGAUCUGUUUGUUCUUCAAGUUAAAAACCCAAGACAAAGUAUUUGAAGGCAGGAUCCUCUUGUGGGACAGAAAGGCAGCAUUUGUCUUUCUGGGCCUGGGUGACCUCAUUUAGUAAAUAUAUAUUUCCUGGUUCCAUCCAUUUAGCUGAAAUUUUCAUGACAUUUUUCUUUUGACCAAGUCAGCUUAGGCAGUCAACAGGUGCUCCAGGGCAGGAGUGAGGAUUAAAAAGAGAGAGAGAAAAAAAAAAAAAGACAAUUAGACAACACUGUAGCAUGACCCCAGCCAGUCCUGAGACUGAGGUGGGUUUAUUCUUUCCUACUCUGCUUUUAUAUCAUUUUAAUUACAUGUGAAUAAUAAGGUCAGUUCUAGAUUGAGGAACAAGCAAGACAAUAAACACAAAUAGUCAAGGAACAAGCAAGGCAAUAAAUGAAGUCCUGUGAUUACUCCCUUGGUCACUGUUUCUAGGGGCUUAUCAGGAUGACCAAGGUAUCUGAGCCUACUUCCCUGUUUUAGACCAAAGUCAUAUUCUUGCCUGAAGCCUACUUCUUUGUUCUACCUUCAAAUCAGAUUCCUGCCUGAGCUCCCUUCCUUGUUAUGGUCCAGUGUCAAAUUCCUGCCACGCGGCCCCCCAAAGCUCUGCACAUCUUUGCAGCUGAGUAUUCCCUAGUAUAAAUGUGCCACACUUUACGUAUCCCUUCAUCAGCUGGCGAACGUCUGCUUGAUCCUAUGUCUUCAUCACCAUGAACAGAGCACUAGUGAACAUGGAUGUAAGAGUGUCUCUGAGAGGAUGUCAAGUCCUUUGGAUAUGUGCCCAGAAGGGACAUUGCAGGGUCAUGUGGUCAUUCUACUUACAGUCUUUAGAGGAACUUUCAGCCCGAGUUCUAAAGUGACUGCACCGUUUACACGCCCACCAACAGCACACGACUGUCCCCAGUCCUCCACAUUGACACCAGCGUUUGCUGUCAUUUGUUUUCCUAAUCAUAGUCACGGACUGGAGUAAAAUGGAAUCUCAAAGUAGCUUAAAUCUGCACUUCCCUGAUAGCUAAGGAUGUUGAACAUGUUUUCAAAUGUUUUGUGGCCCCUUGUGUUUUGAGAAUGUACUGUUCAGCUCCGUAGCCCAUUUUAAAACUUGGGGUCUUUGUUUUUCG